rnacentral:rRNA from 1 species
GGAAGGGAUGUAUUUAUUAGAUUAAAAACCAAUGCCCUCUGGGCUCUCUGGUGAUUCAUGAUAACUUCUCGAAUCGCAUGGCCUUGCGCCGGCGAUGGUUCAUUCAAAUUUCUUCCCUAUCAACUUUCGAUGUUUGGGUAUUGGCCAAACAUGGUCGCAACGGGUAACGGAGGGUUAGGGCUCGACCCCGGAGAAGGAGCCUGAGAAACGGCUACUACAUCCAAGGAAGGCAGCAGGCGCGCAAAUUACCCAAUCCCGACACGGGGAGGUAGUGACAAUAAAUACUGAUACAGGGCUCUUUCGGGUCUUGUAAUUGGAAUGAGUACAAUUUAAAUCCCUUAACGAGGAACAAUUGGAGGGCAAGUCUGGUGCCAGCAGCCGCGGUAAUUCCAGCUCCAAUAGCGUAUAUUAAAGUUGUUGUGGUUAAAAAGCUCGUAGUUGAACCUUGGGCCUGGCUGGCCGGUCCGCCUCACCGCGUGUACUGGUCCGGCCGGGCCUUUCCCUCUGUGGAACCUCAUGCCCUUCACUGGGCGUGACGGGGAACCAGGACUUUUAC